rnacentral:rRNA from 1 species
GAUGAACGCUGGCGGCGUGCCUAACACAUACAAGUCGAACGGAGUUAAGGGAAAUUUUCGGAUGGAACUUAACUUAGUGGCGGACGGGUGAGUAACGCGUGGAUAACCUGCCUCACACUGGGGGAUAGCAGCUGGAAACGGCUGGUAAUACCGCAUAAGACCACAGCACCGCAUGGUGCAGGGGUAAAAGAUUUAUCGGUGUGAGAUGGAUCCGCGUCUGAUUAGCCAGUUGGCGGGGUAACGGCCCAACAAAGCGACGAUCAGUAGCCGGCCUGAGAGGGUGAGCGGCAACAUGGGGACUGACACACGUCCCAAACUCCUACGGGAGGCACCAGUGGGGAAGAUUGCACAAUUGGCGCAAGCCUGAUGCAGCCACGUCGCGGGAGUGAAGAAGUAUUUCGGUAUGUAAAGCUCUAUCGGCAGGCACGAAAGGCCCGAAAGGGAGAUGACGGUACCUGACUAAGAAGCCCCGGCUAACUACGUGCCAGCAGCCGCUGUAACAC